rnacentral:rRNA from 1 species
CCUACGGGGGGCAGCAGUGGGGAAUAUUGCACAAUGGGGGGAACCCUGAUGCAGCGACGCCGCGUGAGUGAAGAAGUAUCUCGGUAUGUAAAGCUCUAUCAGCAGGGAAGAAAAUGACGGUACCUGACUAAGAAGCCCCGGCUAACUACGUGCCAGCAGCCGCGGUAAUACGUAGGGGGCAAGCGUUAUCCGGAUUUACUGGGUGUAAAGGGUGCGUAGACGGUUAUGCAAGUCUGUAGUGAAAGUCCAAGGCUCAACCAUGGGACUGCUAAAGAAACUGUAAAACUGGAGUACAGGAGAGGUAAGCGGAAUUCCAAGUGUAGCGGUGAAAUGCGUAGAUAUUUGUAAGAACACCAGUGGCGAAGGCGGCUUACUGGACUGUAACUGACGUUGAGGCUCGAAGGCGUGGGGAGCAAACAGGAUUAGAUACCCCAGUAGUC